GACGAACGCUGGCGGCGUGCCUAAUACAUGCAAGUAGAACGCUGAAGCUUGGUGCUUGCACCGAGCGGAUGAGUUGCGAACGGGUGAGUAACGCGUAGGUAACCUGCCUGGUAGCGGGGGAUAACUAUUGGAAACGAUAGCUAAUACCGCAUAAAAUGGAUUAUCGCAUGAUAAUCCAUUGAAAGGUGCAAAUGCAUCACUACCAGAUGGACCUGCGUUGUAUUAGCUAGUUGGUGGGGUAACGGCUCACCAAGGCGACGAUACAUAGCCGACCUGAGAGGGUGAUCGGCCACACUGGGACUGAGACACGGCCCAGACUCCUACGGGAGGCAGCAGUAGGGAAUCUUCGGCAAUGGACGGAAGUCUGACCGAGCAACGCCGCGUGAGUGAAGAAGGUUUUCGGAUCGUAAAGCUCUGUUGUAAGAGAAGAACGAGUGUGAGAGUG
rnacentral:rRNA from 1 species